rnacentral:rRNA from 1 species
CMACUUUUAACGGUGGAUCUCUUGGCUCGUGCAUCGAUGAAGAACGCAGCCAGGUGCGAUAAGUAGUGUGAAUUGCAGAAUUCAGUGAAUCAUCGA